UGUGGACAAAGAGCUCUCCAAUAGGUUUACCGAAAUAUUCAGGGGCCAUUUUCUUAAAAGUAAGGUGAAGUUUAUCAACUUUCAAAGCAUAAUUACUUUCCCAUUGUUCCUCAAUUGCAGUGUAUGAUACCAUUUUCUAGUCUCUACUUUUAUCCAAUGUAAAAAAAAAAAAAAACACCACUUCAAAUGUUGCUACAUAAGACCGAGACGAGGAGAUCCGUCACAUCUUAUCUACCCGCACGGACAACCGGUAAAGACAGGCCUUACAAGACUCAUGUUCCCAGUACCAGUUAAAACACUAAAUAUCAUGGAAGAGAGAGGACAGAGGAUGGCCUUUUGCCCAAAGACAAAACCCCAUGGUGAGGAGAGGAAGUCCAGUGUCCGGCAGUGGGAGAGUAUGGCACGAGAUAGAACUGGGACGACAUUCUGCACAUUUUCUCAUCGAUGAAACAUUCGAUCUCAGUACAGUUUUCUGUUCCCAAAACAAGAAUCUGUUUUGAACAGAUUGGAUAAGUAGACGUUUACCCCUUUUUAGACUUUAGUCAAAGUUUCCAAAAAAUGGCAUUGUUUAAAAGGAGUGCUAGGGCGAAUUGAGUUAUUGCACACGUGCACUUCACAGAGUAAGCAUUCUCUAACGGAAAUAUGCAAAUACAUGCUACAACAAGCCUAGGAUCUUGCUAGUUCGUGCUUGGCUCUGCCCACCUCCGUGCUUGUUUUGCCCACUAUGCUUAAUUUGCUCCUAUUGGAAACACAGGCUCUGGUGAAGCUGGAAUCAGUUUGGUUUUGGGCUUAAACAGUCAUAUGCUUUGCAAUAGUGGAAGCAGAAGCACUGUUUGAUUGAGUGAAGUUAGUGAGAAUAAAGUCAUGAGCAAGAAGAGAGGAGCUACAAGCAGUUUCUUGUUGGACUGAGAUUCAUUAACAAUUCUGCAUUUUUUGGGGGGAGAUUCAUUUGAUGUUACGAAGAUGGUGAAGGUGGAGUCGGUCCAAAUUUCGAUUCCGGUCUCGAGACCAUAUAUCGGUCUUGUGACGAAUGCAUUCCUGUGGCUGUCCUCAUGAGAGCCAGUUUCAGAGAGAACAGUCUAUGACUUGGGUGACUGGAGUCUUUGACAAUGUUUUGUCCAUUCCUCUGACAUCGCCUAGUAUAUAGGUCUUAGAUGACAGGAAGCUUGGCUUCAGUGAUGUACAGUACUGGUCCGUACGCACUACCCUCUGUGGCGCCUUACGGUCAGAUGCCGAGCAGUUGCCAUAC